rnacentral:rRNA from 1 species
GACGAACGCUGGCGGCGCGCUUAACACAUGCAAGUCGAGCGAGAACCAGGACUUCGGUCCUGGGGACAGCGGCGAACGGGUGAGUAACACGUGGAUAACCUGCCCUCGGCACCGGGAUAGCCCGGGGAAACUCGGAUUAAUACCGGAUAGCCCUUCCGACUCUCGAGUCGGUCCGAAAAGGUAGCUUCGGCCUCUGGCCGAGGAUGGGUCCGCGGCGGAUUAGCUAGUUGGUGGGGUAACGCCUACCAAGGCUUCGAUCCGUAGCUGGUCUGAGAGGACGAUCAGCCACACUGGGACUGAGACACGGCCCAGACUCCUACGGGAGGCAGCAGUGGGGAAUCUUGCGCAAUGGGCGAAAGCCUGACGCAGCGACGCCGCGUGAGGGAAGAAGGCCUCGGUUGUAACCU